rnacentral:lncRNA from 1 species
UAACACAUGAUUUUUCCCCAAAAACUGGUAUGGCUGAUGGAUAUGAUAGGACAAGGACAUUGUGAGAGUAGCAAGAAAGAGACAAAUUCCAAGUGUCAUCAAAUCAAUGGAAAUACCACCUUUUAUUUUUCACUAUCCUCAGAUUUUUCUUUCCAUAACCAAAUGGUCCAAAUGGUCAACACCCACAAAUCUAAUUUUC